rnacentral:rRNA from 1 species
GCAACCUACGGGGGGCAGCAGUGGGGAAUAUUGCACAAUGGGCGAAAGCCUGAUGCAGCGACGCCGCGUGAAGGAUGAAGUAUUUCGGUAUGUAAACUUCUAUCAGCAGGGAAGAAAAUGACGGUACCUGACUAAGAAGCCCCGGCUAACUACGUGCCAGCAGCCGCGGUAAUACGUAGGGGGCAAGCGUUAUCCGGAUUUACUGGGUGUAAGGGGAGCGUAGACGGCGAUGCAAGCCAGAUGUGAAAGCCCGGGGCUCAACCCGGGACUGCCUUUGGAACUGUGUGGCUGGAG